rnacentral:rRNA from 1 species
UACGGAGGAUGCGAGCGUUAUCCGGAUUUAUUGGGUUUAAGGGGUGCGUAGGCGGGAUGCCAAGUCAGCGGUAAAAAUGCGGUGCUCAACGCCGUCGAGCCGUUGAAACUGGCGUUCUUGAGUGGGCGAGAAGUAUGCGGAAUGCGUGGUGUAGCGGUGAAAUGCAUAGAUAUCACGCAGAACUCCGAUUGCGAAGGCAGCAUACCGGCGCCCUACUGACGCUGAGGCACGAAAGCGUGGGUAUCGAACAGG